CCUACGGGAGGCAGCAGUGAGGAAUAUUGGUCAAUGGACGAGAGUCUGAACCAGCCAAGUAGCGUGAAGGAUGACUGCCCUAUGGGUUGUAAACUUCUUUUAUAAAGGAAUAAAACGAGGCAAGUGUGCCUUUUUGCAUGUACUUUAUGAAUAAGAAUCGGCUAACUCCGUGCCAGCAGCCGCGGUAAUACGGAGGAUCCGAGCGUUAUCCGGAUUGAUUGGGUUUAAAGGGAGCGUAGAUGGGUUGUUAAGUCAGUUGUGAAAGUUUGCGGCUCAACCGUAAAAUUGCAAUUGAUACUGGCAGUCUUGAGUACAGUGGAGGUAAGCGGAAUUCGUGGUGUAGCGGUGAAAUGCUUAGAUAUCACGAAGAACCCCGAUUGCGAAGGCAGCUUACUAAACUGUGACUGACAUUGAUGCUCGAAAGUGUGGGUAUCAAACAGGAUUAGAUACCCUAGUAGUC
rnacentral:rRNA from 1 species